rnacentral:lncRNA from 1 species
GGGGAAACAGUGUAUAAACAUAUAUCAUGACAAAAAACAUACUAAGUAUUAUUAAUCGGCUAGCAAAGGGAAGUUAAACAUACGACAUGAACUAAAUUAACCAGUGCACACGACUAGUUAAAAAACAAACAUCCUUUGACAACAAGUUUCUAAUUAAAUCAUGGCUGCGCCUGGGCAGCAUUAUUAUGAGAGUGAAAGUGAACGUGCUGCUACUCCCCUCAUUCCCAACAUGUAUCAAGUACCUACAUUGAGUAAUGCAAGAGUGAGAUGACACAUCUCAACAAGUAAAAUAAUAACAAACUGUUUAACCACAUAACAACAUUGUUUUACCACCACUUGAUUUCACAACCUUCUUAUUACGAAGGUGCAGCACGAAUACAACGUACAACACACCUGGUUACCACACCUCGCAGGUAGAAACCACAAUAGUAACAUAGUAAUGUCAUCCUUCAUAUAUACCUCAUGAGUGCAAAUGUCUGCAAAUGCAAGGAUGACUUCUGCCUUCAUACCUCUAAGGAUAUGAAGCGGCAUCGUACCCCUCCUCGGGCAACGUACGAUGCUAAAAGUGUACCGGUACGGUCGGACCAUAAGAUCACGACAUAACUUCAAAAUGCAAGAUGGAUGAUACGAUGUGCAUGACAUGCCUACAACACUUCAUAUAACGUGAUUCAAAAAGAUACUUCAACUUCAUCCAAGAUGGGAAUCAACCACAUAUAUCAUUCCCAAAUCAUGAUCAUCCGCAAUAUUAGACAAUUGAGAAUUAAUACUUACGAACAAAUAAACUUCAUCAUAGAAUUCAAUGAUUAACACAUUUAAUACUUAUGCAUAGUCAAUGACAAGGCAUAGGAUGCAAACCAAACGGUAGCAACCACCACUGUAUUUACUUGCCUUCACCGGGAAUUUGGAAUGGUACUAAGUACGAUCUGGAAGUCCACCACCUGUUUUUUACACACACCUUAGUGCACAAAUCAACAUAACAAACGCUAAUAAACAACGCCGCACCUACGCACAAUUCCAACCUGUCGUGAGCGACAACUCUCCCCAUCACCACCAAACUGCAGCGGCGCUGCUUGAUAAUUUCAUAACUUUAAAAUUAUAACAGCAGUGAUAUCAAUCAAAAACUCCGAAAGCAUUUACAUAAAAUUCCCCACAAGUUUUAUAUUCAAAUAAUAACUAAAUUCCAACCCCUAAUUAGCCCAAAAUAGUCCACAAGAUAAACCCUGCAAUCUGUUUUUGGACAGUAGCAUACCCGGAUUCAAACAGCGAUAUCUCCUAAAAUAUAACUCCGAAUCGAGCGCAUAAGUACUCGUUGGAAAGGUAUGACAAAGCUCUACAUUAUUAUCAUACUGAGUAUCACUAAUUACCCACGAAAAAUCCCCAGAAACUGCUAAUACUACUGCUGUUCGCCCACCUGCAAAUCUGUUUUUUUGGACAGCAACAUAUCCGGAUUCAAACAGCGAUAUCUCCUAAAAUAUAACUCCGAAUCGAGCGCAUAAGUACUCGUUGGAAAGGUAUGACAAAACUCUACAUGAUUCUUCCACUGAUUAACACUAAUUACUCACGAAAAAGUCCCAGAAACUGCUAGAACUACUGCUGUUCGCCCACCUACAAAAUUUCUGGACAGCACCUCUACCAAUUCGCAUACGCAAACAUCUAAUCGAUUGAAUUGCAGCACAAAUAAACAAGAGUUAAUCACAAAAUCACCUUGACUUCUCCCCCUUUCCUCUCUCCUUCUUCCUUCCACCAAAUUCCAAUUGGAGAUUUGCACCCACGCGACGUAGAUCAAGCGGGAGGGCUGCACCUAGGAGAGGAGAAGAUGGGGGGUGGCUAGGGUUUGUGGGAUGGUGGCUGCAAGAGUUUGAGGGAGGAGGAGAUGAGAGAGGGGGGCGGCUGCACAAAGGCUAGAGAGAGGGGGC